GGUGGUCCCAGUAUUUCAUGCUGUGGCACCUUGACUGGACAUAGUGGCAUUACAUGUAGGAGGCAAAUUCUCUCCAACAUGAGGAAAAGAAAGCAGGAAACUGUGACUAAAUGAAGAUCACAGAGCCAGUUGAUCAGUGGGGAAGCUGCAUCUGAAAUCCAGGACUUCUAGAUCCUGGGUCAACUGGAGGGGUCAUGCAUUCUGGAAAAAGAUGUAGAGUGGUACAGGCUGAAAGCGGAGCGGAGAGGACACUGUUUCAAGAUUCCUGCGCCAGCUCCUUCGUUGUUAUAGAAGUUGGACUAAAUAAAAGGAAUUUUCAAAGAUGUUUGGAAAUGUGGCCCGUUAGCUAUAGCAGCCAUGAAGAUGUAGGACAAUUGAUUUGA
rnacentral:lncRNA from 1 species